rnacentral:misc_RNA from 1 species
GACCAUCAGAUGACAUUUCAGCUGCUUAGCUAAACUGAAAAACAAGAAGAGAGACGUUUCAUUAAGCAGACACUAGAGGAAUCAGUAAUUUGUACUUGUGACCAAGAGAAGAAAGAUGCAAGCUUCUCUUUAUGACGAAGAUUUGUGGCUCAAUCUCUCGCUAAGUCUACCUUGUAUCCAAGAAAUAUGCAGAGAAUUGAGGGUCAAGAGAUCGAAUCU